ACUCAAAUGAAUUGACGGGGACUCGCACAAGCGGUGGAUUAUGUGGCUUAAUUCGACGGUAAACGAAGAACCUUACCAAGGUUAGAAACCCAACUGCAGUUUCUCUGAAAGGAGAUUCGCCUUCGAGGGUGUUGGGCAGGUGAUGCAUGGUUGUCGUCAGUUCGUGGCUUGAGCUGUUCCCUUCAGUGGGGUAACGAACGCAACCCCCGUUGCCUGUUGCCUAUAUGGUCAGGCGAGACUGCUCCCUCACGGGAGAGGAAGGUGGGGAUGACGCCAAAUCAGCAUGUCCCUCUGAUACCUUGGGCUGCACACAUAAUAAAAUGGUCGGUACAGCGGGAUGCAAUACCGUAAGGUGGAGCAAAUCCCUUAAAACCGUCCUCAGUACGGAUCGAGGUCUGCAACCGACCUCGUGAAGCUGGAAUCGCUAGUAAUCCCGGGUCAGCUAAACCGGGGUGAAUACGUUCUCGAGUCUUGUACACACCGCCCGU
rnacentral:rRNA from 1 species